GUUUCAGUUAACUGACAAAAAGCCCCGAGUCUCGGCGGAAACUUUCCUGAUUUUUUGCAUUGUUAGGUACUCGCGGGCUGUUUUGGGCUAGCCCGCGGAUACUCGCGUGCAGUCAGAAGACAGCAAGCGGAUACCCGCGCCCAGUAAGAAGUUAGGGCGCGGGUUGCUUGUUUUCAAGUGAUUUUUGAGGAAUUACUCAGCAUGGCUUUGGCUAGGAAGAGGCAUGAGUUGGCCUGAUGCCAGGUAAACCUGUAUGGUGCAUUUUAGGGUUAUAACAUAUCCUCUGGCUUGUCUUUUUGCCUAGUGCUCCCUUGUGUGGUCGUUUUCGUUACGGCUCUUCAUGCAUUUUUUUAUGGUCGUUCAUGUGUUUCGUUGCAUCUCUUCGUGCGUUUGGGUGCCCACCUUGCCAAUUGGCCUUGCAUUGCAUUUGGGUGCCCCUCUUGCCAACUUUCCUUGCCUUGCCCUUGGUCGCCCAAUCUUGGCCAGGAUUCUCGUGUGUUUUGUUAUGGCUCUUUGUGCAUAUGGGCGCCCAUGUUGCAAACUUGCCUUGCGUUGCAUUUAGGUGCCCAACCUUGGUGAGGCCAUAUUAAAAAAUCUACCUGCAAGCCAAAAUUGGUUAUUAUCCAUCCUCUAGCUCAUCUUUUAGUUAGGUCCUCUCGUGUGUGGUUGUUUUCGUUAUGGAUCAUUUUUUCAUUUGGGCGCCCAUCUUGCGAACUCGCCUUGCAUUGUGUUUGGGCACCCAUCCUAUGAACUCACGUUGCGUUGUGUUCCAGCGCCCAACCUUGGUGAGCUCGUAUUAAAAAAUAUACCUCCAAGACAAAAUCUGUUCUUAUCCGUCCUUCGGCUCGUCUUUUAUCCUAGUGCUCCCUUGUGUGGUUGUUUUCAUUAUCGAUGAUUUUUUUGUUUGGGCGCCCAUGUUGCAAACUCGCCUUGGGUUGCAUUUGGUCACCCAUGUUGCGAACUCUCCUUGUGUUGUGUUCAAGCGCCCAAACUUGGUGAGGCCAUAUUAAAAAAUCUACCUCCAAGCCAAAAUUGGUUCUUAUCUGUCUUUCGGCUCGUCUUUUAGCCUAGUGCUCCCUUGUGUGGUCAUUUUCAUUACGAAUGAUUUUUUCAUUUGGGCAUCCAUCUUGCAAACUCACCUUGCGUUACGUUUGGGCACCCAUCUUGUGAACUCGCUUUGCGUUGCAUUUGGGUGCCCAAUCUUGGUGAGGCUGUAUUAAAAAAUCUACCUCCAAAGAAAAAUUGGUUCUUAUCCAUCCUUCGGCUCGUCUUUUAGCCUAGUGCUCCCUUGUGUGGUCAUUUUCGUUAUGGAUGAUUUUUUCGUUUGGGUGCCCUUCUUGCGAACUCUCCUUGCAUUGCAUUGGCAAGAGGAGUGCCCAACCAUCAAAACUGAAAUAGCCAGCGACAGAGGUGUGGUGGGGAAAAAACUUGGGGUUUCCAGAGGCCACGCAAGGAAAGUUGGCAAGAGGGGCACCCAAAGCCAAGCCGAGUAUUAUCCAUGCCAAUCCAACACCUCAACAGAAAGGAGUUGUUGAAAGAAAGAACAGGACAGUACAAGAAAUGGCUCAACAAGGUUUAACGAAAUGCACAAAGAGCCGUAAUGAAAAUGACCACACAACACAAAAUGCCAAUCUGACAAAACCGAAGGGCCUGCGACAUGACUCAUGUGAAGCAGAAUUCACCAAGUGUUGGAUUGUUCACCCACCAAUAGGGAACAUGAGCUAGUUUUAGACCAUCAUGAGAUAGGUUAGUUUUACCCUACUAAUGAACCACGCCGCAAUAGUAAUUCAACUUAGUACGAGAGGAACCAUUGAUUCACACAAUUGGUCAUCGCGCUUGGUUGAAAAUCCAAUGGCGUGAUGAUACCAUGUGUCGGAUUAUGACUAAACGCCUCUAAGUUAGAAUCCACACUAGAAGUGAUGCUUGUCACUCCUCGACUAUAUCUUGACCUGCAGUAGGGGUGUCGCUUCAACACCCCUAGGGGCCCAUGUCACUUGCGAACCUCAGCCAGGAAGCGUCUAGGUCGAGGCAGCUUUGAAGUUCAAUUUCAAGUGGUCAUUGAGAAGAAUCCUUUGUAGACGACUUAAAUACGUGACAUGGUAUUGUAAGUGGCAGAGUGGCCUUGCUGCCAUGAUCCACUAAGAUUCAUCCCUUCGUUGCCUCGAUUCAA
rnacentral:ncRNA from 1 species